GUGGGGAAUAUUGCGCAAUGGGGGAAACCCUGACGCAGCAACGCCGCGUGAUUGAAGAAGGCCUUCGGGUUGUAAAGAUCUUUAAUUGGGGACGAAAUAAAUGACGGUACCCAAAGAAUAAGCUCCGGCUAACUACGUGCCAGCAGCCGCGGUAAUACGUAGGGAGCAAGCGUUAUCCGGAUUUACUGGGUGUAAAGGGCGAGUAGGCGGGCCGACAAGUUGGGAGUGAAAUCCGGGGGCUUAACCCCGGAACUGCUUUCAAAACGGUUGGUCUUGAGUGAUAGGGAGGCAGGCGGAAUUCCCAGUGUAGCGGUGAAAUGCGUAGAUAUUGUGAGGAACACCAGUGGCGAAGGCGGCCUGCUGGACAUUAACUGACGCUGAGGCGCGAAAGCGUGGGGAGCAAACAGGAUUAGAAACCCCUGUAGUCC
rnacentral:rRNA from 1 species